UCCCUGGCGGUCCAGUGGUUAGGGCUUGGUGCUGUCACUGCCGUGACCCGGGUUCAACCCCUGGUUGGGGAA
rnacentral:tRNA from 1 species